UCUUCCCUCUGGCGGCGUGCUUAACACAUGCAAGUCGAACGGUGAAGCUCCAGCUUGCUGGAGUGGAUCAGUGGCGAACGGGUGAGUAACACGUGAGCAACCUGCCCCUGACUCUGGAAUAAGCGCUGGAAACGGCGUCUAAUACUGGAUACGAGAAGGGUCCGCAUGGGCACUUUCUGGAAAGUUUUUCGGUUGGGGAUGGGCUCGCGGCCUAUCAGCUUGUUGGUGAGGUAAUGGCUCACCAAGGCGACGACGGGUAGCCGGCCUGAGAGGGCGACCGGCCACACUGGGACUGAGACACGGCCCAGACUCCUACGGGAGGCAGCAGUGGGGAAUAUUGCACAAUGGGCGAAAGCCUGAUGCAGCGACGCCGCGUGAGGGAUGACGGCCUUCGGGUUGUAAACCUCUUUCAGCAGGGAAGAAGCGAAAGUGACGGUACCUGCAGAAGAAGCACCGGCUAACUACGUG
rnacentral:rRNA from 1 species